UUAACGGAAUUUUUCUUUAUAGCUUGCUACGAGGAUAAUUAGUGGCAGACGGGUGAGUAAUGCAUAGGAAUCUACCUAGUAGUAUAGGAUAGCCACUAGAAAUGGUGGGUAAUACUGUAUAAUCCCUGCGGGGGAAAGAUUUAUCGCUACAUGAUGAGCCUAUGUUAGAUUAGCUAGUUGGUAGGGUAAAGGCCUACCAAGGCGAUGAUCUAUAGCUGGUCUGAGAGGAUGAUCAGCCACACUGGAACUGAGAUACGGUCCAGACUCCUACGGGAGGCAGCAGUGGGGAAUAUUGGACAAUGGGCGCAAGCCUGAUCCAGCUAUGCCGCGUGAGUGAGGAAGGCCUUAGGGUUGUAAAACUCUUUCAGUAGGGAAGAUAAUGACGGUACCUACAGAAGAAGUCCCGGCAAACUCCGUGCCAGCAGCCGCGGUAAUACGGAGGGGGCAAGCGUUGUUCGGAAUUAUUGGGCGUAAAGGGCAUGUAGGCGGUUCGGUAAGUAAAGGUGAAAUGCCCAGG
rnacentral:rRNA from 1 species